GCGACAAUGCCAUCGAUCGGAUCCCUGGCCAAUCGGGUAAACACAGGUCAGUCAUGUGACCCUAGAGGCGGAAGUUUCCUGCUGUGGCGCGAAUGAACAACAAAGGAAAGUACAGAGGAGGGAAAGUUUUCACCUGUGAUUUUCGAAGUGAUGGCGGAGGAGGGCAGUGCGCCGAAUCAAAAGGUUAUGGAGAGAUGUGUGGGCAGCAGUGACGAGCAUCUAUUAUGAUGUUCUACACUACCUAGAAGAAGAAGGCUUCCUCAACAUCUCCAGUGUUCUGCACCUCCUUUGUUGCCAUUAUGCGUUCCUGCCAUGCAUUUCCAAAGUGGCUGGGACAACCAUCCCAUAAGAACUGAGAACCACAUGACUCCUGACCAGCUAGGUCACAUCUCUUACCCAGUUCCAUCACCAGAAAAUGUGGAGACUGUCAACAUUCCACUGAUUGACUGGGAGAACAGUGGCAAAGCUGACACCGGAAAGCUGGUGCUGGAAGAGCAGCAGGGACAGGGUUAAUUACACUCUUCAACAUUAUGGAGUAUAUGACCUACCCAUAUCUACAACCACAUGUCACAUGACCAAGUGAGGUCUCAUGACACAAUAAGACAACAGACCUGAACCUGUUACUAUCACUUGUGUCG